AUUCUAGGUAGAACAGGAUUGAGGCUUUGCCCUUGACAGGCUGCCAUUGUACAACUUAGGGACAAGAAUGGAGACUAGAGAAGAGUUUCAGGUCUGUGCAGAAGGCUGCUGCUCUCGUCAGCCUCCCCAUCACAGUCAACUUCAGAAAGUGGAAAUCAGAUGCAUCAGACAUCUCAGGGCAAAGGAACAACUCAGGGGGAAAUGCUGGUUAGAGCUGCUCCAGGAAAUGUAGGAUCUGAGAUUCAAAGCUUUUGGAAAUCAUAUCUGCUUGGAUUUUAACUGAUCAUGGAGAGGCUGAGACAGAAGGACCAGGAAUUUGAGGCUAAUCUGAGCUGCAUGAAACCGUCUCACAACAAAACAAAAUGUAAAAACAUACAGGGACAAUAAAAGAUUUUAUACAGAGCAAAA